CUGCCUCUGCCUCCAGAGCGCUGGGAUACAUUUUUAAAAGAUGGGGUUGAACAAUCUGAACCUCGACACAGAACAGAGAUGGGAUUAGACUCUGCGAGGUAGGGACACCCUAUCCUUGCAUCCCAGAACUUCUCAAGGCUAUGGGGUUUUAUUUGUUGUUUUUUAUGACAACAUCAUUGCUUGAAAGCCUUUGUAGCCGCCAACAGCCUCCAGGAUUAGACCUCAGACAAUGGAAGACAAUACCAAUGCCUUUCAUAUCUGCCUCACUCCAACACUGAACUACCCUGACUAGUGGUGCAAGUAUGGAUAAAAAGCUGCAAGGAUUCUGAGAAUAGUUAUAGGAUCUUGGCAUAUCUUGGGUAGCACCCAAGUCAUACAGAAACACACAGAGAUCUACAUACCUCUAUAUGGAAAUAAGCAAAGCUUCUCUCGAAGGUGCCCUCAACUACCAAAAGAGGUGGUGUGUCCUUACUUCACAGGCAGAAAAGCCACAGGCAUAGAACUGGUUUGGAGGUGGUUCAGGCCUCAGUCUGGAGCACAUAAAGGAAUUUACCCCAUGAGGAAAGGCACUGUGCUGUGUAGCUCAUCUCCCAGCACGUUUUGGGGCUGGCAAUCAUUGUAUCUGAUAUCUUCUGAUUCAAACCCCUAUCAUCUAGUUUGGUUGUUUGCCUUAACCCAAGCUGAGCAAAUUAUUUCCUUUACUACCAAUUACCCUCGACAAAGCGGUGUGGCCACGUAACACAAUUCUUUCCCCAGCCAAAAGCUAUAAGCAGACAUACUGGGAUUAUUUUUGGUCUGGUCUUUUGGCAAGAGAACUCUGUGCAGAAGGACUGGGGCUCUGGGGUUCUUAAACACUGUAACACAUCUUCCAUUUCCCUUUGCUCCUGUGCUUUCUUAUUAUUUACUUUCCAGAAAGUUGGUAAUGCUCUGGACUGAGAUUUAACAGUUGAAAUGGUAGCUUCCUGAAGCUGGACUGUGACCAUCUGACAAGCGUGAUUUGGGAAUGCUGGAAAAAAAAAAAAAAAAACAGCAUCACAGGACCGGGGACCUUCAGCGGAAAAAUAGCAAGGAGUAGAGGUUACUGGAGAUCAAAAGAAGUGCUUAGGCCUGCUCAAGUUGUUAGGUUACUCACCAACUCAAGUCAGCCUUGAAGGCUUAGCAUCCUCUAUUUUCCUAGCUGAUUGCCUCUCCCACUGUGCCUUGCUCUAUUGGUAUGCUGUUGCUUUUAUAGAUGGACUCACAAUUUGAAGGGGACAUUAUAUAGCAAUAAUUAAGCCUGAUCUUAGGGUCACCUCAGAGCCGUGAUAGGCCCUCCAGCUGACAGAGAAACCAAAGGACCGUUCUCAGAUGUCCGGGAGUUACAAUUAGGAACACACCUCGGUCCACUAUCACCAAGGCAGGAACUACAGGUGAUUUCCAACAGGUGAAUCCAGUGGAUCCAGGCAAGUUUGUGUUAGGGCAACACGUUGACCAAAAGAAAAGUGAUUAGACUCACAUCAUCUGCCCUAAAUUGACUGGAAGAUGUAGCUAGUAACCCCGCAUCAAGUAUUCCGACAUUAGAGCUAUGGAAAGACAACCAGUCUAGGGAGUUACUUGUGCCAUUCUACCAAUUGAACUCCAGAGUAUGAGGUAAACAUUAAGAAAUCCCCUAAAGACAAGCUGAUUUAUAAAAAAAAAAAAAAGAAAGAAAGAAAGAAAGAAAGAAAGAAAGAAAGAAACCUGCAACUCCAAAAUAAGCAUUGCCAUGGAUUAUGGAGUUUGUGAAUGUGUAUGUAAAAGAAAGGUGCCUGAUGUGUCUGUCUGUCCAGGAAAGCCCUCUUUGGAGGAAGAUGUGUUGCACCUGAAAUUUCAGGAAAGCAUGAGCUGCCUUGAGCACGGUGCUCAUUUUCCUGUCCCAGUGAAAUGCCCACGAAUUCCUAUCUUUUAUGGAACAAUAGAGUCUUUCUUUGCCGGGUGUUUACUGAAGGCAUCCCUUAAUCACUUUGAAGAGCAGUUCCCCCUAACCCCCACAAACACUGAGAUCACAGGCACGUGGGGGUGGAGAUAAUGAAGGUGCUUGUUCCGCAUUCAAGCUGUAAUUGGAUUAGUGGGACUCACACUGGCAACUUUGUUACACUUUGUCCUCCUCAGGGCAGGGAAAGUCCGGAGUGGGAAGACACCCCAGUGUCUGAUGACCACAGUGUUGCCGCCAGGCUAUACUUAACACAAAAAUAACCAUAUCUGGAAUGGCAUAACAACAUCAAUCCAGAGAGGAGAGGCGUACGACAAAGAGAAGACUCCAAACGCCACUGCGAGACGGGCAUGAACAACAUCCGACUUCCUGCGUUUUCUGAAGAAACUUGGGAGUUUGAACAGAAAAAGCAAAACCCCGAAUCUGUGAAGAAGCUGUUCCUGGAAAGCAUUGCAAUAACUCUAGUGCUAAUUCUACAACCACACGUCACGAGGCAUCAGUGUCACCGUGAUCUGCCGCAGGGACGCUUUUCCUCCUUGUCCCAACCUGACAGUUAGGAGCUGCAUCCUAAUAAAGAUGGAAUAACAUGA